AGCGAACGCUGGCGGCAGGCUUAACACAUGCAAGUCGAGCGGGCACUUUCGGGUGUCAGCGGCGGACGGGUGAGUAACGUGUGGGAACGUGCCCUCUGGUUCGGAAUAACUCAGGGAAACUUGAGCUAAUACCGGAUACGCCCUUUUGGGGAAAGGCUUGCUGCCGGAGGAUCGGCCCGCGUCUGAUUAGCUAGUUGGUGAGGUAACGGCUCACCAAGGCGACGAUCAGUAGCUGGUCUGAGAGGAUGAUCAGCCACACUGGGACUGAGACACGGCCCAGACUCCUACGGGAGGCAGCAGUGGGGAAUAUUGGACAAUGGGCGCAAGCCUGAUCCAGCCAUGCCGCGUGAGUGAUCAAGGCCUUAGGGUUGUAAAGCUCUUUUAUCCGGGACGAUAAUGACGGUACCGGAGGAAUAAGCCCCGGCUAACUUCGUG
rnacentral:rRNA from 1 species